rnacentral:rRNA from 1 species
UACUUAGGGAUCUGCCUUCGGGAGGGGGAUAACCAUUGGAAACGAUGGCUAAUACCGCAUAACGUCUACGGACCAAAGGGGGCUUCGGCUCUCACCUGAAGAGGAACCUAAGCGAGAUUAGCUUGUUGGUGAGGUAAAGGCUCACCAAGGCGACGAUCUCUAGCUGUUCUGAGAGGAAGAUCAGCCACACUGGGACUGAGACACGGCCCAGACUCCUACGGGAGGCAGCAGUGGGGAAUAUUGCACAAUGGGCGCAAGCCUGAUGCAGCCAUGCCGCGUGUGUGAAGAAGGCUUUCGGGU